UAUCUCUGUAGAGUCUGCAUAUCAAUAAGCGGAGGAAAAGAAACUAACUAAGGAUUCCCUCAGUAACGGCGAGUGAAGCGGGAAGAGCUCAAAUUUGAAAUCUUCAAGGUUUUACCUUGACGAAUUGUAGUUUAAAGAAGUGUUUUCUGUUGAAGUUUCGGUAAAAGUUCUUUGGAAAUAGGACAUCAUAGAGGGUGAGAAUCCCGUAUUUGACCAGUUAUUUUCCAGCUGUGUGAUACACUUUCAAAGAGUCGGAUUGUUUGGGAAUGCAGUCCAAAAUGGGUGGUAAAUUUCAUCUAAAGCUAAAUACUGGCGAGAGACCGAUAGCGAACAAGUACCGUGAGGGAAAGAUGAAAAGAACUUUGAAAAGAGAGUUAAACAGUACGUGAAAUUGUCAAAAGGGGAAGCGUUUGACACCAGUGUUGUUUUCUCGAAAAUCAAUUAAAAAAGAUUGGAUUUUGUGUUGUAUUGACUUUAUCAGCUUUCUGCACUCCUUUUCUUGUCUUUUUUAAUGCACUUUUCGUUUAACAAGUCAACAUCAAUUUCUUUUGUUGUAAAAGGGUCAUUGGAAGGUGGCUUUCUUUUCGGAGAAAGUGUUUAUAGCCUUUGGCUUCUGCAAUCGGAGAGAUUGAGGUCUGCAGCGUAGAUCCUUCGGGGUUAGAUACAUUUGUGCUAAGUUAUAGCCUUUCAUAGACAACUUGUUGACUAUGAUCAGUCAUGUAGCUUACUCGCUUAUGCUAUUUUACCUACGCUUAGGAUGUUGAUCUCUCACAGUCGAGC
rnacentral:rRNA from 1 species